GAAGGGACCUAGCGUAGUUCGGAAUUACUGGGCUUAAAGAGUUAGUAGGUGGUUGAAAAAGUUGGUGGUGAAAUCCCAGAGCUUAACUCUGGAACUGCCAUCAAAACUUUUCAGCUAGAGUAUGAUAGAGGAAAGCAGAAUUUCUAGUGUAGAGGUGAAAUUCGUAGAUAUUAGAAAGAAUACCAAUUGCGAAGGCAGCUUUCUGGAUCAUUACUGACACUGAGGAACGAAAGCAUGGGUAGCGAAGAGGAUUAGAUACCCUCGUAGUCCAUGCCGUAAACGAUGUGUGUUAGACGUUGGAAAUUUAUUUUCAGUGUCGCAGGGAACCGAUAACACACCGCCUGGGAGUACGACCGCAAGUUAAAACUCAAAUGAAUUGACGGGACCGACAAGUAGUGGAGCAUGUGGUUAAUUCGAGAUACGCGCAGACCUUACCACACUUGACAUGUUCGUCGCGACUCUAGAGAUUCAAUUUCGUCGCGACGAACACAGGUGCUGCAUGGCUG
rnacentral:rRNA from 1 species